ACAGCAGUCGCCACGGGAAUACGUAGGUGGCAAGCGUUGUCCGGAAUUAUUGGGCGUAAAGGGCUCGCAGGCGGUUUCUUAAGUCUGAUGUGAAAGCCCCCGGCUCAACCGGGGAGGGUCAUUGGAAACUGGGAAACUUGAGUGCAGAAGAGGAGAGUGGAAUUCCACGUGUAGCGGUGAAAUGCGUAGAGAUGUGGAGGAACACCAGUGGCGAAGGCGACUCUCUGGUCUGUAACUGACGCUGAGGAGCGAAAGCGUGGGGAGCGAACAGGAUUAGAUACCCCAGUAGUCCCUGUCUCUUAUAC
rnacentral:rRNA from 1 species